UCACAGUUUACACUGGCAGUUUCGUUAGAGUCCCCGGCAUUACCCGAUGGCAACUAACGAUAGGGGUUGCGCUCGUUAUGGGACUUAACCCGACACCUCACGGCACGAGCUGACGACAACCAUGCAGCACCUUGAAGACCGCCCCGAAGGGAAGACACCUUUCAGCGUCGGUCGCUCUCCAUUUAAGCCCAGGUAAGGUUCCUCGCGUAUCAUCGAAUUAAACCACAUGUUCCUCCGCUUGUGCGGGCCCCCGUCAAUUCCUUUGAGUUUCAGCGUUGCCGCCGUACUCCCCAGGUGGAUCACUUAAUGCUUUUGCUUAGCCGCUGACUAUAUAUCGCCAACAGCGAGUGAUCAUCGUUUACAGCGUGGACUAC
rnacentral:misc_RNA from 1 species